rnacentral:rRNA from 1 species
GACCGAUUCUGGCUCAGAUUGAACUGGCGGGAUGCUUUACAUGCAAGUCGAACGGCAGCACGGACUUCGGUCUGGUGGCGAGUGGCGAACAGGUGAGUAAUGUAUCGGAACGUGCCUAGUAGCGAGGAUAACUGCACUUGGCCGUAGCUAAUACCGCAUACGCGCCCUUCGGGGGAAAGCGGGGGACCUUCGGGCCUGCACUCUUGAAACAGCCGAUAUCGGAUUAGCUAGUUGGUGGGUAACGGCUCACCAAGGCGACGAUCCGUAGCUGGUUUGAGAGGACGACCAGCCACACUGGGACUGAGACACGGCCCAGACUCCUACGGGAGGCAGCAGUGGGAAUUUUGGACAAUGGAAAACCUGAUCUAGCCAUCCCGCGUGUGCGAUGAAGGCCUUCGGGUUGUAAAGCACUUUUGGCAGGAAAGAAACGGCACGGGAUAAUACCCCGUGCAACUGACGGCACCUGCAAAAUAAGCACCGGCCUAACUACGUGCCAGCAGCCGCGGUAAUACGUAGGGUGCAAGCGUUAAUCGGAAUUACUGGGCGUAAAGCGUGCGCAGGCGGUUCGGAAAGAAAGAUGUGAAAUCCCAGAGCUUAACUUUGGAACUGCAUUUUUAACUACCGAGCUAGAGUGUGUCAGAGGGAGGUGGAGAUUCCGCGAUGUAGCAGUGAAAUGCGUAGAUAUGCGGAGGAACACCGAUGGCGAAGGCAGCCUCCUGGGAUAACACUGACGCUCAUGCGAAAGCGUGGGGAGCAAACAGGAUUAGAUACCCUGGUAGUCCACGCCUAAACGAUGUCAACUAGCUGUUGGGGCCGGGCCUUGGUGGCAGCUAACGCGUGAAGUUGACCGCCUGGGAAGUACGGUCAUAAGAUUAAAACUCAAAGGAAUUGACGGGGACCCGCACAGCGGUGGAUGAUGUGGAUUAAUUCGAUGCAACGCGAAAAGCCUUACCUACCCUUGACAUGUCUGGAAUCCCGAAGAGAUUUGGGAGUGCUCGCGAAGAACCGGAACACAGGUGCUGCAUGGCUGUCGUCGCAGCUCGUGUCCGUGAGAUGUUGGGUUGAGUCCCGCAACGAGCGCAACCCUUGUCAUUAGUUGCUACGAGGGGCACUCUAAUGGUUUGCCGGUGACAAACCGGAGGAAGGUGGGGAUGACGUCAAGUCCUCAUGGCCCUUAUGGGUAGAGGGCUUCACACGUCAUACAAUGGUCAGGACCAGAGGAAUGCUUCCAACCCGCGAGGAGUAAUCAGAAACCCGAUCGUAGUCCAGAUCCGCAGUCUUAACUCGACUGCGUGAAGUCCAGAAUCGCAGUAAUCGCGGAUCAGCAUGUCGCCGGUGAAUACCGUUCAGAUCUUGUACACACCACUUGUCACACCAUGGGAGUGGGUUACAGAAAUUAGCCGCUUCUAACCGUAAAGGAGGGCGAUUACCACGGUAGGAUUCAUGACUGGGGUGAAGUCAUAACAAAGGAGU